CCGGCGGCAAGGGCGGAGCGGACGGGACGCGAUGGCGGCGGAGCUGCGGGAGGCGCUGGAGCGGCGGCUGCGGGACCUGGGCAUCGCCACCGUCACCGCCGAGCACCCCCAGGUGUUCACUGUUGAAGAAAUGAUGCCCCAUGUCCAACAUAUGAAAGGAGGUCACAGUAAAAACCUGUUUCUUAAAGACAAAAAGAAGAAAGCGUUCUGGCUGGUGACCGUCCUGCACAACAGGCAGGUCAAUUUAAACGAACUUGGUAAAAAACUGGGCGUUGGAAGUGGAAACCUAAGAUUUGCUGAUGAAAAUGCCAUGCUGGAAAAGCUCAAAGUGGGCCAGGGCUGUGCCACGCCGCUCGCCCUCUUCUGUGACCAGGGAGACGUGAGGCUGGUGCUGGACGCUGCCUUGCUCGAAGGGGGCCACGAGAAGGUGUAUUUUCAUCCAAUGACAAAUUCUGCAACCAUGGGCUUAAGCCCCGACGACUUCCUGAAGUUUGUGAGAUCAACAGGCCACGAUCCCAUCAUUGUACACUUCGAUGAAGACAUUGAGUAGAGGAAGUUCACUUUUCUACUACUACUCACAGAUUUUGUAGAGCAAAACUGGUGGAAAAUCUCGGUACAAAUAAAACUUGAAAAAAAAUGGCUUAUUCCUUUUUGUUUCAAUUAUGUAAAUUUAUAUCGUAUAAUCUUGUGAGAAAAAAUAGUGCCUUUGAGUUCUUAGAAGUUUAACAAUGUUCUUAAUAAGACAUUUUGCAAUCAAAAGGCAUUAUUUAAAUACUGUUAUAGUAUUUAUCAAUAAGUGGAUACAACUAGAAUUUCCUGGGUGUGGGAUUGGCCUUGAAGGCUUAAACUUGACAUCACCAGGAAAGAACAAAUUCAAAGCUGUAGAACAUCCGUCAAUACCUCCAGGACAGAGCUGCCCCCACUGUGUCCCUGCACCCAUUUAUGCCCUACUACACAUCGCUUUUAUUCUUUUUACCUAAAAAAACAACGCACCUACACUACAGAAAAUGCAUUUGAUUGUCAUUUUUCAACCAAGGUGUGCUGAAGACAGAAGCAGCAGAAACUCCAUCAGUCCAGUAAACAUCCCAUGGCAACGAGCACCCCCCAAAACCCAAAGCCAGGGGAGCAGCGAGUGAGGGAUGGAAUGUGAAGCUGAAGGGGGUGAAGGCUUUUGGAUGCACCCUAAGGAAAAUGUCACGUACAAGCGAUGCCUCCAGGGCAGGAGCAUCAGUGCAGGCUGGGAUGAACUGCAACCAAAACUACCGGAGCAGGAAUUAAAAACAUGUCAAAGGAUUUGUGAUGUUGGGUACGUGAACAAUUACUAUUAACUGAGUAUGAAAAAAACACCAUCUAGGGCAAGUUCCUUUGCCCUCAGCCUUACCACAGUUUCCAUCAUUUUCAAAGGAUUUGGCACCUGUUCUCAGAGCUCUGAGUGACAGAACACUUCACCACCCAGCAGUUUAGGUUCUCCACCUCUGACAGACACAAACCAACCCCAUCUAUCCCGGGAGUCACGUCCAGUGAGAAAGAAGUGACCAAAACUGCUGAAGCUGCAGGAGUCGUCACUGGAGAGAUGGCCAGAUACUUGUGAUUGUACAGGCUGAAGGGAACACCUGGGACACAAACUGGGAAGCUUAAGAAAGGAAGAAGAGCGGAAUGAGCAGAGCACAGAGAGCCACCUGACUGCUCAAAUGCCAUGGAACUUCCCUGCAAAGCAACGUGGACAAGUUGAGAAGAGCUGAGCUGGCCAGUGGAACGGGAGGGGAUCCCUGUGUGAUGGAAAUGACACAUCGAGGUGUGGUGAGGGCAGUCACACGUGCCUCACAUGGGGGUGUGUGCCAGAGU